rnacentral:misc_RNA from 1 species
UCUCCGUUGGUGAACCAGCGGAGGGAUCGUUACCGAGUUUACAACUCCCAAACCCCAUGUGAACCUUACCAAACGUUGCUUCGGCGGGAUGCCCCGGGCGCGGGCCGCAAGGCCUCAGCCCCGGAACCAGGCGCCCGCCGGAGGCCCAAACCAAACUCUUGUUUUUGUAGAAUCUUCUGAGUGGCCUUUUAGGCAAAAAAUGAAUCAAAACUUUCAACAACGGAUCUCUUGGUUCUG